rnacentral:rRNA from 1 species
CAGUAGCCGCGGGAAUACAGAGGGUGCAAGCGUUAAUCGGAAUUACUGGGCGUAAAGCGCGCGUAGGUGGUUUGUUAAGUUGGAUGUGAAAGCCCCGGGCUCAACCUGGGAACUGCAUCCAAAACUGGCAAGCUAGAGUACGGUAGAGGGUGGUGGAAUUUCCUGUGUAGCGGUGAAAUGCGUAGAUAUAGGAAGGAACACCAGUGGCGAAGGCGACCACCUGGACUGAUACUGACACUGAGGUGCGAAAGCGUGGGGAGCAAACAGGAUUAGAUACCCGCGUAGUCCCUGUCUCUUAUAC